rnacentral:rRNA from 1 species
CCUACGGGUGGCAGCAGUGAGGAAUAUUGGUCAAUGGGCGUAAGCCUGAACCAGCCAAGUCGCGUGAGGGAUGAAGGUUCUAUGGAUUGUAAACUUCUUUUAUAAGGGAAUAAAGUGUGGGACGUGUCCUAUUUUGUAUGUAUCUUAUGAAUAAGGAUCGGCUAACUCCGUGCCAGCAGCCGCGGUAAUACGGAGGAUCCGAGCGUUAUCCGGAUUUAUUGGGUUUAAAGGGUGCGUAGGCGGUGUGUUAAGUCAGCGGUAAAAGUUCGGGGCUAAACCCCGUCCGGCCGUUGAAACUGGGGGCCUAGAGAGGGCAUGAAGAAGGCGGAAUGAGUGGUGUAGCGGUGAAAUGCUUAGAUAUCACGCAGAACCCCGAUUGCGGAGGCAGCCUGCGAGCUCGCUACUGACGCUGAGGCACGAAAGUGCGGGGAUCGAACAGGAUUAGAUACCCCUGUAGUC